CUACAUCAUGUUAAAACCCCCGUUUCCCGUACGAACACCGAAGUUAAGCUACGUUGAGUCUGGUAAGUACCUAGGUGGGUGACUGAUCGGGAAUUCCAGGCGCUGUAAG